GACAUGUGUGGUUUAAAACAGAUGUUGGAUUUUUACCAAGAUGUUUUUAAAACACACUCUCCAGAUUCCAAAACUGAGGAGGACAUCAUCAAUAAUCUAUCUCGUUUGCGAGUAGACUUCAGAGGCUGUUUAAAUCACCCUUCUUGCAAGUAUUCCACCAAAGAUGCCAUGAUUAAACAAAUGAGAACGACAUUCGUGGAGCUGAAGGAAAAGGGAGUUCACAAGGCCUUUGGAGAGCUUCCAAGAAUGCUUGACUGGAUAAAUGAAUAUGUGCACUAGGAAGAGAAGUAGCACAAGAAAAAGUAAAAGAAGAAGGAACAAAAUAAAAAGUACAUUU